UACGUAGGGGGCAAGCGUUGUCCGGAUUCAUUGGGCGUAAAGGGUGCGUAGGCGGCGCGGUAAGUCGGGUGUGAAAUCUCGGAGCUUAACUCCGAAACUGCAUUCGAUACUGCCGUGCUUGAGGACUGGAGAGGAGACUGGAAUUUACGGUGUAGCGGUGAAAUGCGUAGAUAUCGGGAGGAACACCGGUGGCGAAGGCGGCGACCUGGUUCGAUACUGACACUGAGGUGCGAAAGCGUGGGGAGCAAACAGG
rnacentral:rRNA from 1 species